rnacentral:rRNA from 1 species
UACGAAGGGGGCGAGCGUUGUUCGGAUUUACUGGGCGUAAAGGGCGCGUAGGCGGCCAUUCAAGUCAGGCGUGAAAGCCCCGGGCUCAACCUGGGAGGUGCGCUUGGGACUGGGUGGCUGGAGUUCGGGAGAGGAGAGUGGAAUUCCCAGUGUAGAGGUGAAAUUCGUAGAUAUCGAGAGGAACACCUGCGGCGAAGGCGGGUUGCUGGGCUGAUACUGACGCUGAGGCGCGAAAGCCAGGGGAGCGAACGGG